AACGAACGCUGGCGGCGUGCCUAACACAUGCAAGUCGAACGGAUGGUCGCAAGACCAUUAGUGGCGGACGGGUGCGUAACGCGUGGGAACCUGCCUUGAAGUUCGGAAUAACUGCGGGAAAUUGCAGCUAAUACCGGAUGUGGCCUGAGGGCCAAAGGGGAAACUCGCUUCAAGAGGGGCCCGCGUCCGAUUAGCUAGUU
rnacentral:rRNA from 1 species